rnacentral:rRNA from 1 species
UAGGGAAUCUUCCGCAAUGGGCGAAAGCCUGACGGAGCAACGCCGCGUGAGUGAUGAAGGUCUUCGGAUCGUAAAACUCUGUUAUUAGGGAAGAACAUAUGUGUAAGUAACUGUGCACAUCUUGACGGUACCUAAUCAGAAAGCCACGGCUAACUACGUGCCAGCAGCCGCGGUAAUACGUAGGUGGCAAGCGUUAUCCGGAAUUAUUGGGCGUAAAGCGCGCGUAGGCGGUUUUUUAAGUCUGAUGUGAAAGCCCACGGCUCAACCGUGGAGGGUCAUUGGAAACUGGAAAACUUGAGUGCAGAAGAGGAAAGUGGAAUUCCAUGUGUAGCGGUGAAAUGCGCAGAGAUAUGGAGGAACACCAGUGGCGAAGGCGACUUUCUGGUCUGUAACUGACGCUGAUGUGCGAAAGCGUGGGGAUCAAACAGGAUUAGAUACCCUGGUAGUCCACGCCGUAACGAUGAGUGCUAAGUGUUAGGGGGUUUCCGCCCCUUAGUGCUGCAGCUAACGCAUUAAGCACUCCGCCUGGGGAGUACGACCGCAAGGUUG